rnacentral:rRNA from 1 species
UACAGAGAUGGCGAGCGUUACUCGGAUUUAUUGGGUGUAAAGGGCAGGUAGGUGUUCUGCUAAGUUAGUGGUGAAAUCCUGCAGCUCAACUGCAGAACUGCCACUAAAACUGACAGAAUUGAGGUUAGAAGAGGAGAGCGGAAUUCCCGGUGUAAGAGUGAAAUCUGUAGAUAUCGGGAGGAACACCAGUGGCGAAAGCGGCUCUCUGGUCUAACCCUGACGCUGAUCUGCGAAAGCUAGGGGAGCAAACAGG